CCUACGGGUGGCAGCAGUGAGGAAUAUUGGUCAAUGGGCGCGAGCCUGAACCAGCCAAGUAGCGUGAAGGAUGACUGCCCUACGGGUUGUAAACUUCUUUUAUAAAGGAAUACAGGGAGGCACGUAUGCCUUUUUGUAUGUACUUUAUGAAUAAGGAUCGGCUAACUACGCCCCGGCAGCCGCGGUAAGACGGAGGAUCCGAGCGUUAUCCGGAUUUUUUGGGUUUAAAGGGAGCGUAGAUGGGUUGUUAAGUCAGUUGUGAAAGUUUGCGGCUCAACCGUAAGAUUGCAAUUGAUACUGGCAGUCUUGAGUACAGUUGAGGUAGGCGGAAUUCGUGGUGUAGCGGUGAAAUGCUUAGAUAUCACGAAGAACUCCGAUUGCGAAGGCAGCUUACUAAACUGCCACUGACAUUGAUGCUCGAAAGUGUGGGUAUCAAACAGGAUUAGAUACCCGAGUAGUC
rnacentral:rRNA from 1 species